CCUACGGAGGCUGCAGUGGGGAAUAUUGGACAAUGGGCGAAAGCCUGAUCCAGCCAUGCCGCGUGUGUGAAGAAGGCCUUCGGGUUGUAAAGCACUUUCAGUGGGGAAGAAAGCCUUGGGGCUAAUACCCUCGAGGAAGGACAUCACCCACAGAAGAAGUACCGGCUAACUCCGUGCCAGCAGCCGCGGUAAUACGGAGGGUGCGAGCGUUAAUCGGAAUUACUGGGCGUAAAGCGCGCGUAGGCGGUCUGAUAAGCCGGUUGUGAAAGCCCCGGGCUCAACCUGGGAACGGCAUCCGGAACUGUCAGGCUAGAGUGCAGGAGAGGAAGGUAGAAUUCCCGGUGUAGCGGUGAAAUGCGUAGAGAUCGGGAGGAAUACCAGUGGCGAAGGCGGCCUUCUGGACUGACACUGACGCUGAGGUGCGAAAGCGUGGGUAGCAAACAGGAUUAGAUACCCCAGUAGUC
rnacentral:rRNA from 1 species